rnacentral:rRNA from 1 species
UACGUAGGCAGCAAGCGUUGUUCGGAAUUACUGGGCGUAAAGAGUGUGUAGGCGGUGCUCUAAGUCUGUUGUGAAAGCCCUGGGCUCAACCUGGGAAUGGCAGUGGAUACUGGAAAGCUAGAGUGCGGUAGAGGGUAGUGGAAUUCCCGGUGUAGCGGUGAAAUGCGUAGAGAUCGGGAGGAAGGCCGGUGGCGAAGGCGGCGCUCUGGAACGUUUCUGGACACUGAGCUCGAAAGCGUGGGGAGCAAACAGG